rnacentral:rRNA from 1 species
UACAGAGGGUGCAAGCGUUGUUCGGAGUUACUGGGCGUAAAGGGUGCGUAGGCGGUUGUUUAAGUUUGGUGUGAAAUCUCCCGGCUCAACUGGGAGGGUGCGCCGAAUACUGAAUGACUAGAGUGCGGGAGAGGAGAGUGGAAUUCCUGGUGUAGCGGUGAAAUGCGUAGAUAUCAGGAGGAACACCGGUGGUGUAGACGGCUCUCUGGACCGUAACUGACGCUGAGGCACGAAAGCGUGGGUAGCAAACAGG